rnacentral:rRNA from 1 species
UACGUAGGUGGCAAGCGUUGUCCGGAAUUAUUGGGCGUAAAGCGCGCGCAGGCGGUUCUUUAAGUCUGAUGUGAAAGCCCACGGCUCAACCGUGGAGGGUCACUGGAAACUGGAGAACUUGAGUACAGAAGAGGAAAGCGGAAUUCCACGUGUAGCGGUGAAAUGCGUAGAGAUGUGGAGGAACACCAGUGGCGAAGGCGGCUUUCUGGUCUGUAACUGACGCUGAGGCGCGAAAGCGUGGGGAGCAAACAGG